rnacentral:rRNA from 1 species
UGUGAGCUCGAUGAGUAGGGCGGGACACGUGGUAUCCUGUCUGAAUAUGGGGGGACCAUCCUCCAAGGCUAAAUACUCCUGACUGACCGAUAGUGAACCAGUACCGUGAGGGAAAGGCGAAAAGAACCCCGGCGAGGGGAGUGAAAAAGAACCUGAAACCGUGUACGUACAAGCAGUGGGAGCACGCUUAGGCGUGUGACUGCGUACCUUUUGUAUAAUGGGUCAGCGACUUAUAUUCUGUAGCAAGGUUAACCGAAUAGGGGAGCCGAAGGGAAACCGAGUCUUAACUGGGCGUUAAGUUGCAGGGUAUAGACCCGAAACCCGGUGAUCUAGCCAUGGGCAGGUUGAAGGUUGGGUAACACUAACUGGAGGACCGAACCGACUAAUGUUGAAAAAUUAGCGGAUGACUUGUGGCUGGGGGUGAAAGGCCAAUCAAACCGGGAGAUAGCUGGUUCUCCCCGAAAGCUAUUUAGGUAGCGCCUCGUGAAUUCAUCUCCGGGGGUAGAGCACUGUUUCGGCAAGGGGGUCAUCCCGACUUACCAACCCGAUGCAAACUGCGAAUACCGGAGAAUGUUAUCACGGGAGACACACGGCGGGUGCUAACGUCCGUCGUGAAGAGGGAAACAACCCAGACCGCCAGCUAAGGUCCCAAAGUCAUGGUUAAGUGGGAAACGAUGUGGGAAGGCCCAGACAGCCAGGAUGUUGGCUUAGAAGCAGCCAUCAUUUAAAGAAAGCGUAAUAGCUCACUGGUCGAGUCGGCCUGCGCGGAAGAUGUAACGGGGCUAAACCAUGCACCGAAGCUGCGGCAGCGACGCUGAUGCGUUGUUGGGUAGGGGAGCGUUCUGUAAGCCUGCGAAGGUGUGCUGUGAGGCAUGCUGGAGGUAUCAGAAGUGCGAAUGCUGACAUAAGUAACGAUAAAGCGGGUGAAAAGCCCGCUCGCCGGAAGACCAAGGGUUCCUGUCCAACGUUAAUCGGGGCAGGGUGAGUCGACCCCUAAGGCGAGGCCGAAAGGCGUAGUCGAUGGGAAACAGGUUAAUAUUCCUGUACUUGGUGUUACUGCGAAGGGGGGACGGAGAAGGCUAUGUUGGCCGGGCGACGGUUGUCCCGGUUUAAGCGUGUAGGCUGGUUUUCCAGGCAAAUCCGGAAAAUCAAGGCUGAGGCGUGAUGACGAGGCACUACGGUGCUGAAGCAACAAAUGCCCUGCUUCCAGGAAAAGCCUCUAAGCAUCAGGUAACAUCAAAUCGUACCCCAAACCGACACAGGUGGUCAGGUAGAGAAUACCAAGGCGCUUGAGAGAACUCGGGUGAAGGAACUAGGCAAAAUGGUGCCGUAACUUCGGGAGAAGGCACGCUGAUAUGUAGGUGAAGUCCCUCGCGGAUGGAGCUGAAAUCAGUCGAAGAUACCAGCUGGCUGCAACUGUUUAUUAAAAACACAGCACUGUGCAAACACGAAAGUGGACGUAUACGGUGUGACGCCUGCCCGGUGCCGGAAGGUUAAUUGAUGGGGUUAGCCGCAAGGCGAAGCUCUUGAUCGAAGCCCCGGUAAACGGCGGCCGUAACUAUAACGGUCCUAAGGUAGCGAAAUUCCUUGUCGGGUAAGUUCCGACCUGCACGAAUGGCGUAAUGAUGGCCAGGCUGUCUCCACCCGAGACUCAGUGAAAUUGAACUCGCUGUGAAGAUGCAGUGUACCCGCGGCAAGACGGAAAGACCCCGUGAACCUUUACUAUAGCUUGACACUGAACAUUGAGCCUUGAUGUGUAGGAUAGGUGGGAGGCUUUGAAGUGUGGACGCCAGUCUGCAUGGAGCCGACCUUGAAAUACCACCCUUUAAUGUUUGAUGUUCUAACGUUGACCCGUGAUCCGGGUUGCGGACAGUGUCUGGUGGGUAGUUUGACUGGGGCGGUCUCCUCCUAAAGAGUAACGGAGGAGCACGAAGGUUGGCUAAUCCUGGUCGGACAUCAGGAGGUUAGUGCAAUGGCAUAAGCCAGCUUGACUGCGAGCGUGACGGCGCGAGCAGGUGCGAAAGCAGGUCAUAGUGAUCCGGUGGUUCUGAAUGGAAGGGCCAUCGCUCAACGGAUAAAAGGUACUCCGGGGAUAACAGGCUGAUACCGCCCAAGAGUUCAUAUCGACGGCGGUGUUUGGCACCUCGAUGUCGGCUCAUCACAUCCUGGGGCUGAAGUAGGUCCCAAGGGUAUGGCUGUUCGCCAUUUAAAGUGGUACGCGAGCUGGGUUUAGAACGUCGUGAGACAGUUCGGUCCCUAUCUGCCGUGGGCGCUGGAGAACUGAGGGGGGCUGCUCCUAGUACGAGAGGACCGGAGUGGACGCAUCACUGGUGUUCGGGUUGUCAUGCCAAUGGCACUGCCCGGUAGCUAAAUGCGGAAGAGAUAAGUGCUGAAAGCAUCUAAGCACGAAACUUGCCCCGAGAUGAGUUCUCCCUGACUCCUUGA